rnacentral:rRNA from 1 species
CAAUAGCGUAUAUUAAAGUUGUUGCAGUUAAAAAGCUCGUAGUUGGAUUUCUGGGAGGGUGCCGCCGUCCGGCGUGUCCGUGUGCAGUGGCGCCCUUCCAUCCUUCUGUUAGCGUCUCUUGGCAUUCAUUUGCUGGUGGCGGGCUCAGAUAUUUUACCUUGAGAAAAUUAGAGUGUUUCAGGCAGGCUAGGCCGGAAUACAUUAGCAUGGAAUAAUGGAAUAGGACUACGGUCUCUUUGUUGGUUUGAGGAACUGCAGUAAUGAUUAAUAGGGAUAGUUGGGGGCAUUAGUAUUUAAUUGUCAGAGGUGGAAUUCUCAGAUUUGUUAAAGACUAACUUAUGCGAAAGCAUUUGCCAAGGAUGUUUUCAUUAA